ACUCCUACGGGAGGCAGCAGUGGGGAAUAUUGCACAAUGGGCGCAAGCCUGAUGCAGCCAUGCCGCGUGUGUGAAGAAGGCCUUCGGGUUGUAAAGCACUUUCAGUCGUGAGGAAGGUAGUGUAGUUAAUAGCUGCAUUAUUUGACGUUAGCGACAGAAGAAGCACCGGCUAACUCCGUGCCAGCAGCCGCGGUAAUACGGAGGGUGCGAGCGUUAAUCGGAAUUACUGGGCGUAAAGCGCAUGCAGGUGGUUUGUUAAGUCAGAUGUGAAAGCCCGGGGCUCAACCUCGGAAUAGCAUUUGAAACUGGCAGACUAGAGUACUGUAGAGGGGGGUAGAAUUUCAGGUGUAGCGGUGAAAUGCGUAGAGAUCUGAAGGAAUACCGGUGGCGAAGGCGGCCCCCUGGACAGAUACUGACAC
rnacentral:rRNA from 1 species